AGCGAACAGACGAGGAGCUUGCUCCUCUGACGUUAGCGGCGGACGGGUGAGUAACACGUGGAUAACCUACCUAUAAGACUGGGAUAACUUCGGGAAACCGGAGCUAAUACCGGAUAAUAUAUUGAACCGCAUGGUUCAAUAGUGAAAGACGGUUUUGCUGUCACUUAUAGAUGGAUCCGCGCCGCAUUAGCUAGUUGGUAAGGUAACGGCUUACCAAGGCAACGAUGCGUAGCCGACCUGAGAGGGUGAUCGGCCACACUGGAACUGAGACACGGUCCAGACUCCUACGGGAGGCAGCAGUAGGGAAUCUUCCGCAAUGGGCGAAAGCUUGACGGAGCAACGCCGCGUGAGUGAUGAAGGUCUUCGGAUCGUAAAACUCUGUUAUUAGGGAAGAACAAAUGUGUAAGUAACUAUGCACGUCUUGACGGUACCUAAUCAGAAAGCCACGGCUAACUACGUGCCAGCAGCCGCGGUAAUACGUAGGUGGCAAGCGUUAUCCGGAAUUAUUGGGCGUAAAGCGCGCGUAGGCGGUUUUUUAAGUCUGAUGUGAAAGCCCACGGCUCAACCGUGGAGGGUCAUUGGAAACUGGAAAACUUGAGUGCAGAAGAGGAAAGUGGAAUUCCAUGUGUAGCGGUGAAAUGCGCAGAGAUAUGGAGGAACACCAGUGGCGAAGGCGACUUUCUGGUCUGUAACUGACGCUGGUGUGCGAAAGCGUGGGGAUCAAACAGGAUUA
rnacentral:rRNA from 1 species